rnacentral:lncRNA from 1 species
GGAUUUUGAUUCUGUGUUUAUGUUUAUGUGUUCCACCAAAAUAUUGAUGCUGGUUAACAAUUUGCUUGAACUUCUAUUUCAGUUUGAAAUCCAGGAAAACCAUGAGUGGAAAUUUUCAAACUAUAAGGAAGAGUGUCCUGAUAUCUGCUCCAAUCCUGCUUACAAUUUGCUAUCUGCCAGAUUCCCAAGGAAAGUGCUAGAUGCGGGCGUACAGAUGUGUGUAGCAGUACAACAUGUAUUCAUAAGGAAUUAUUGGCUCAUGUCAAUAAAACCCAAGUGUGACAAGUAUCAGGCUUCUGAAACAUGUAGAUCAAAAAAAACAGUUAGGUUUGAGAUUGGAAAGAUACCUACUCUGCACAGGCAAAACUUCAUUAAAAUAAUGUCCACAGAGGGGACCAGUAUAGCAUGUGGAAGGGAAGACCACAGAAGGAAUCCAGGUAUAUUGCAGUGCUGAUUUGUUAUAGGCAACUGGAGCAGCAAGGAGUGGAAUAGGAAAAUCAAUAUGAAAAGGAAAGGGCUUUCUCCCAUCAUUAGUUGCAAAAAAAAAAGAGAGAAGUUUUCACUUCCACAUGUGGAACUAAUCUGCUAGUUCUUUGCUUAACACAAAGAGUAAACUCUGACAAUAGUCUGUAGAAGUGUUGACAAUUGACAAGGCUUGAAAAAAUUAUUUUUUCCUACAAAUUUAUUUCUAUUUGUAUUUAUUUGAGAUUUUUAUGCAAUAAAAAGAGAG